rnacentral:rRNA from 1 species
UACCUAUAAGACUGGGAUAACUUCGGGAAACCGGAGCUAAUACCGGAUAAUAUUUCGAACCGCAUUGUUCGAUAGUGAAAGGUGGUUUUGCCAUCACUUAUAGAUGGACCCGCGCCGUAUUAGCUAGUUGGUAAGGUAACGGCUUACCAAGGCGACGAUACGUAGCCGACCUGAGAGGGUGAUCGGCCACACUGGAACUGAGACACGGUCCAGACUCCUACGGGAGGCAGCAGAC